UCUUUUCUAUAUUUUGAAGGACACUUCACUUUUUACGGCUGCAAGAAAUGGUCAGACUGAUAUUGUAAGGUUGCUCAUAGAGAACGGAGCUGAUGUCAACAAGGGAGAACGGGACACUCCACUCUGUGAGGCUGCAGGAAAUGGUCACACUGAUAUUGUAAGGUUGCUCAUAGAGAACGGAGCUGAUGUCAACAAAAGAGUAGACGACACUCCACUCUGUAAAGCUGCAAGAAAUGGUCACACUGAUAUUGUAAGGUUGCUCAUAGAGAACGGAGCUGAUGUCAACAAGGGAGAACGGGACUCUCCACUCUCUGAGGCUGCCGGAAAUGGUCACACUGAUAUUGUAAGGUUGCUCAUAGAGAACGGAGCUGAUGUCAACAAGGGAAAAUGG